CCACGUCGUCAACUUUAAAGCUCUCGUGACGAGGCGACAACUCAACCAUGACAAUGGGUUUUCCUAUAUUGUAAGCAUGACGUGGUUUGUUAUCCUGCAGUUGUUGAGCUCUAAACCUGUAGCUGAUUUAAGCUUUACUCUAGUUUCUUCGUGACUGCCACGUUUUAAUACUUCGUAAGCGUUGUCAUUCUCAAAUUUGUUCGUGAAUGCCUGGAAGUUAACGUUCUGAUUGUUCUUUGUAAAAAGGAUUCUUACAAUUGUACGUCUUCUGGGAAAACUGUUGUUGGGUUGGACGAAAAAAAAUUCUGUGUAUUUAACAGGAUAUUGGCCUCAGUAUGUUUGACACGUAGAGAUUUUCAGCAUGUAUCUUUGGAGAUAUUUAAUAUCCGCAAUGUUUCCUUUGA